CUUUCAAAAGGAAAAACUACCUCUGCGUGCGGGCCUGAAGGUCUGUGAUUUUUAGUGCAGGGACUAGGUGUGAUGUCUUCUGAUUGCCGAGAGGCCGGGAUUGUUUAUUUAUUUUCCGGGUUCUAAACUGAGUUCUGCUCAGUGGAAGUUGCCAGCCCAGUGACCACUUUGGAAACAUGAGGUGUUAACUUUGUAAAUAUUUUCUUUUGAGAUCUUGAAGUUUGUGUAUGAGUGACAAGCGAAAUGAAGAAAUGAGAUUCUUGAAUAGAGCCUUCAGAGGAUCAAAGUUAGCCUGGCAAAGUAUUGUAGAAACAAUACCAGCUUUGGAUUCACUCAGAUCUGCGUGUGACUUGGGCAAAAAUUGUUUAACCUUUCCAGGCUUCACUUUCCUCAUCUGGAAAAUAAGCAAGAAACCUAGUGACCCCCUUGUCCGGUGAAACUCGGAUGAGGUCAUGAAUCUGAAAGCACUUUGGGAAGUUAAAAGGCACUCUAUCACUACCAGGUAUUGUGUUGCUAUUAUUACUCCUGGUAAUAGUAGUAUUUCCCUUUCUUUCCUAGUGUUCUUACUCCCCAGUGGUGCUAUGAAAUCCUUGCAUUUUUUGGCAGCAGAAUUGCCUGAAAAAUAUGCUAGGGGGAAAAAGUGGGAAGAGAAUCCUAAGAAAAAACCAGGCAGAGGGAACACAAAUGUUUCCCAUUAGCGGAAGAAAAGCGGGGGCAGGUUUUCUGAUCCCCUGUGGGAAAGUCACAAUACGGGAACCUCAGUAAUGUCUGAUGGCUGCUUUCUUCCCCUUUGCAAGGGACACGGCCGCAUCAUCUGGAGAGAAAGACAAACACACCUUAGGAAAGGUGGGAGGGAGUUUGGACAAAUGGUGUGUCUCAGGGUCACCUCUUCUCCGUGUCUUCUGCCAGCCCAGGGAAAAAUCUGACUCAAAAGAACAGCCAUGAUUGACAGUUUUCAAAAUGCCUGUCGUCCAGGGCACUCUGUAUUUCUUGAGGACGUGGGGGACCAGCCGUGCUAAUUAUCAGAUUGACUAUGCAGGCCGACCGUGUGGGGUCGGUACCAGAUUCCUUUCCUAGAUGAGGAAACUGCAGCUCAGAUGAGGAAACACGGGUGCCUAGCGGUCCUUAGUCAUGUAGUUUUCCAGAGCUCUUGUCCUCUCCCAUCUGUCUGUCUCGCUGCCCACUUUUCAAUGCAAUUAAUGCAGCGAAGACUUGCUUUUUUCUAGUUCAUUCUAUUUCGUUUCAGUUUUACUGAGUCCGGAUAUGUACUGUAUGUUCUACGGGGACCCAAUAUAGGGCAUACGUAGGAGUCUUUUUUUUUUUUUUAAUUUUUAUGUUUGUUUAUUUUUGAGAGAGAGAGAGAGAGAGAGAAAGUGGGGGAGGAACAGAGAGAGAGAGAGGGAGACAUACAGUCCAAAGCAGGCUCCAGGCUCUGAGCUGUCAGCAGAGCCCGACGCGGGGCUUGAACUCACGAACUGCGAGAUCAUGACCUGAGCUGAAGUUGGACGCUUAACCGACGGAGCCACCCAGGUGCCUCGGACAUAAAUAGAAACCUGAAGGAUCACGUUGGGCAGUGAAGAGCUAGCUGUAUAUAAUUAAUGGCAAAACAGCUCAGAGUGUGUUGAAUGAGCCUUUCUGUAGGAACAGUUCUCUACUGCCUUAGAUUCAUGGAAUCUUUAGAAUUUGGAAGGGGCUUGGAGGCAUGAUGAUCAACAAUAUCAAGGUCUUUUUUUUUUUUUUUUUAAUUUCAGCCAGAAACACAGGGCUCUUGGUCGGGAGGUCGGAGAGGGAGGCACAGACUUUAGAGUCGGACAGAUGAGAGCUUGCCUGCUAGUACUGGCUUUGUACUCUCAGGAAAGUCACUGAGGGGCGCCUGGGUGGCUCAGUAGGUUGAAUGUCCGACUUCGGCUCAGGUCAUGAUCUCACAGUCCGUGGAUUCGAGCCCCGCGUCGCGCUCUGUGCUGACAGCUCAGAGCCUGGAGCCUGUCUCAGAUUCUGCCUUUCCCUCUCUCUGCCCCUUGCCGGCUCAUGCUCUGUCUCUCUCUGUCUCUCAAAAAUGAAUAAACGUUAAAAAAAAAAAUUAUAAAAAAAAAGGAAAGUCACUGCCUGUGUGCGAGGCCUCCGUUUUCUCCUUUGUCGGUGGGAUGGUACGUGUGUUGUAGGGUUGUGAGACUCUGCCAGGCAUAGUGCCUGGUGCGGGACGCUCAGCAGGUGGUGGCGGCUGCUGUCAUCCUUGUCACUGUGUCCUCAUCUGGGCCCUUGAUCUGAUAAGAGGAGCCUGAGGCCUGAACUGGGUGGUGAUCGCCUGGCCAUCAUGGAGGAGCAGAGCCUCCAACCAGUGUCUUGCCUUUUAUGCCAUUUUACCUGUGUUGUGUGGCUGUGAGUUUGAAAUCAGCAUCGUUCGUGAGGUCCAGUUCUCCAUAACUUCUUUUUUCCCUUGCUGGUGUCAAAGGAAGAACAAGGCAAAUGGGUUAACUUGUAAUCUAAAUCGGCAGGUAGUAGUUGAGUGAGGCCAGAGACACAUGAGGCAAAUUUGAAGGACAAGGCAGCUUUUCGAUACCAUUUUUCUUCAAACCAGCACUUGUUCUGGAAAGCGCUCAUUACCAAAGAUCACUGCUGACUGAUUGGAGUUUGAACAGGCGCCCACUUUUUCAAACGCUGUAUCAGGAGGGAAGAAAAAGAAAACCAAGUUUGCGAAGUUUUUGCUUUUUAAAAGCUUCUUGAGGUAGAAAAUAUUCUCAUGUGACUGAGGAGGAAACAGAGGCUCUCAGAUUAAAUAAUUUCCUCAGGGUCAUGCACUACUAAUUACUGGUGCCAACAUUCAAAAGAAAGCUGGGUCAGGUUCUCCAACAUCCUUGUGGAACUCUCCUUCCUUUAGAUCCAGAUUUAUAAAUUAGAAUGUGCAUUAAAGUCCCCCCCAAUUUAAAAGCAAACCAAACAACACACAUGAGAUCCAGUUGGAAACUUUUGAAAGGACCUUGUUGAUCUCUGUGUUCCUUGAAAGUAUAUGUUGCAAUCAGAAUAUUGGUGGUAAGUGUGUUUUUGAGGUUUGUCACCAAUUAACAAAAUUAUAUGCCUCGAGAGUUUUGCAGAGAAAUGCAAAUCAGUAUAAGCGCCUUGUCAUAAUAAGCAGUAUGCUUUGGUUCCUGUUUAUGUACCCCCAAAGCACAUAAUGCACAUAAUUAUAUUGACACGAAGGAAGCCGUUCUCAUUGAUGGUUUCUUUAUAUCUGGCCCCCAAAUUAGUUUGUGGUAUCAGUCGGUAUAAUUUCUAGAGAGCCUGUUUAAUUAAGUCUAGGUUGGUACCUGUCUUUCGAGUAGGGGUCUUGUCUUCCACGGAUGUUCCUUGAACACCUACUAUAUGCUGGGUCCCUCAGAGUGUCUUGACCUUUAAGAAUUCCUCAGGCUGGGGAGUGAGAAACAGACUUGCAUACUUGUGCACACUAAGUGUCGCUGAUGUGGAGUGAUAGAGGAGGGGCUCUAGCAGAAAAGUGAAGAGUGGGGAAGUUUGCCUGAGCGACUGGAGCUGGGUCAUGCAAGAGAAAUCCUGGCUUCCAUGCCCAGAAAGAGGAGACGGCGAUCCAGCAAAGGGACCAGCAGGUGCUGAGCCGUAUGUUCCUGGAAGGGUACAUACAUCCGGGAAGGGUGCGUAUGCGAGGCUGGGGUGUAAGCACAGCAUUGUGUGUUUGUAUUGUGUGUGGGAGGGAGAAUGUUGUGGAUGAGGCUAGAGAGAUAGCUUGGAGCCAGAUUAUUAAGGGGGGGCUGUGAAAGGCAGGCAGCCGAGGAACUUGAACUUUAUUUUGGAGGACCAGCCGAGCAAAUGAAAUUUUAUUUUUGUUUUCGUUUUCCUUUUUAUUAUGGAAAAUGUCAUAUAGAAACCAAACACCAUAUAUACCUAGGCGUGGAAUUGCUGGGUCAUAUGGUAACUCCAUGUUUAACUUUUUGGGGAACUGCCAAAUUGUUUUUCCAUGGCGGCUGCAGCAUGUUUUAGAAAUAGCAUAACAUUAGUUGAAAUAUGUCAGGAAAAAAAUUAAAGGUUUUAUAGACAACGUUUGGAAUUAACAUAUUCAUGAACCAUUUUUAAGAGAGGAUUCAUCUACUCUGAUUUGUGUUGGAGAUCACUGGGUCUGAGGAGAGGGAAAUUGGAGAGUGAGGACCAGUUAUUAGGGAGGCAGAGAAGAGAAGGUAAGAAAGAUGACAGAGAGGGGCGCCUGGGUGGCUCAGUUGGUUAAGCAUCUGACUUUUCAUCUCGGCUCAGGUCACGCUCUCACAGUUUGUGAGAUCGAGCCCGCUGAUGGGCUGUGUGCUCUGGGCUCUGUGAGGAUAGCGCAGAGCUUGCUUGGGAUUCUCUCUCUCUGCCCCUCCCCCAGUGGCACACACUCUCAAAAUAAAUAAAUAGAAAGAAAGGGAGGGAGGGAGAAAAAUUAGGUAGAUAGAUAGAUAGGUAGAAAGAAAGAAAGAAAGAAAGAAAGCUAGAUAGACAGACAGACAGCUAGUUCCUGAUCUCCUUGGUGGGAACCUCCGAACAGUGGUGCUGUUAUUCCCUCCCUCCACACUUUCAAGGCAGUGCUUAUAUAAGACUCAAUGAAACCCAUCUUGUAGGACUACUAAAAUGCUUCAUGUUCAUAACCUUACUAGACAAGUGAACUUGUGAGUUCUCUCUGCACCCCUGCCUCCCGGAACUUUUAGUUUCUCAAAUGCCCCUGAAAAUAAACGGGCCAUUGGAUAUCCUCCUGGUUUAGAGAAACAAUUUUUCUUGGAUUGUAAUGCUGUCUUUAAAACGGCGUUGUUGAGGUGUAAUUCAGGUACUGUAUAAUUCACCCAUUUAAAAUGUACAGUUCACUGGCUUUCUGUAUAUCCUACGGACUUGGGCAACUGUCACCACAUUCAAUUUUUAGAACAUUUUCAUCCUGUAAAAAGAAACCCGUACCUGUCAGCGGUCACUCUCCAUUGACCCUCCUGGUCCUGCCAUCCCACGGCAAGCACUUAUCAACUCUUCGUGUCUAACGCAUUCACCUCUUCUGGACGUUUCAUGUAAGUGGAAUCGUCUAUGUGGUCUUUGUGAAUGGCCUCUUUCACCCAAGAUAAUAUUUUUAGGGUUCAUCCAUAUUGUAUCACAUAUGAACAGCGUGUUUGUUCAGCAUGUAUCAGUACUUCAUUUACUUUUGUUGCCAAAUAAUAUUCCAUUGUAUGGCCAUAGCACAUUUAUCAGUCAGUAAGACCUCUGGGUUAUUUGCACUUCCUGGCUAUUACGAAUAAUGCUGCUCUGAACAUUCGUUGUACAAACUUUGUGUGUGGCUAUGUUUUCAAUUCUCUUGGGCAUGUAUACUUAGGAGAGGAAUUGCUGGACCCCAUGGUAACUCCGUGUUUAACUUCUUGAGGAAACUGCCCAACUCUUUUCCACAGCGGCUGUACCAUUUUAGAAAUAUCUUAAGAUCGGGGCCGCCUGGGUGGCUCAGUGGGUUAAGCAUCCGACUUCAGCUCAGGUCGUGAUCUCGCACUUUACGGGUUCAAGCCCCACGUCGGGCUCUGUGCUGACCGCUCAGAGCCUGGAGCCCGUUUCCGAUUCUGUGUCUCCGUCUCUCUCUGCCCCUACCCCUCUCACAUUCUGUUUCUCUCUCUCUCUCUCUCUCUCUCUC